rnacentral:rRNA from 1 species
AUUGAACGCUGGCGGCAUGCCUUACACAUGCAAGUCGAACGGUAACAGGUCUUCGGAUGCUGACGAGUGGCGAACGGGUGAGUAAUACAUCGGAACGUGCCCGAUCGUGGGGGAUAACGGAGCGAAAGCUUUGCUAAUACCGCUUACGAUCUACGGAUGAAAGCAGGGGACCGCAAGGCCUUGCGCGGACGGAGCGGCCGAUGGCAGAUUAGGUAGUUGGUGGGAUAAAAGCUUACCAAGCCGACGAUCUGUAGCUGGUCUGAGAGGACGACCAGCCACACUGGGACUGAGACACGGCCCAGACUCCUACGGGAGGCAGCAGUGGGAAAUUUUGGACAAUGGGCGCAAGCCUGAUCCAGCCAUGCCGCGUGCAGGAUGAAGGCCUUCGGGUUGUAAACUGCUUUUGUACGGAACGAAAAGGUCUUUUCUAAUAAAGAAGGCUGAUGACGGUACCAUAAGAAUAAGCACCGGCUAACUACGUGCCAGCCGCCGCAGUAAUAC